AGCAGCUUCAUCCUGCUGAAAGUGAUCAGAAAGUCUUGGUUGUGAAAAAGCUUCUCUGAAGUCUUCUUACUUUUUUCUCCUUCCUACCAGAAUUUGCAACUGAACUCCUUACUAAAAUCACACGCAGCAGUGAUUUCCAGGAAUGCAGUGAUGUCCAGGAAGGCACUGAUGUCCAGGAAGGACCAUAUUCCAUGGUCUUUGGAGAGAUCUUGUCGUUACUUGCCUGCUGAAUUUAGGAUCUUUGUUACCUUAAUCCUAAAUAAAACUGCUCUUAAAACGUCAUUCAAGGCCCUUUUUCAGUAUUUGUUUACCCUGAGCUGUUCUGAGGUUCUUACAAGACAUGUACACCUUUGUGCAAGUGGAAAACAUGAUUUAUUUGUAUGUCUCCUGGAUUCUUCUGUCUUGACAUGCUCCUUGAUGCAGCCUUUGAUUAUUUCAACUUAUGAACAGUCAAGAGUCCAAUGUUAAGGAAUUAUUAUACAGCAAAAAUAAUAACAAAUGAAUGAGUAGAAUUUCAGCUGUGAUCCAGAUCAGUUCUACAGCUUGAACCACCUGUAAUAUAUCCAGACUGGGAAUGGAAAUAACAAAAAGAGCUG
ensembl:lncRNA